GGCGAACGGGUGAGUAAUGCAUCGGAACAUGUCCAUGUCGUGGGGGAUAGCCCGGCGAAAGCCGGAUUAAUACCGCAUACGCCCGAGAGGGGAAAGUGGGGGACCGCAAGGCCUCACGCGAUUGGGUUGGCCGAUGUCCGAUUAGCUAGUUGGCGGGGUAAGAGCCCACCAAGGCGAUGAUCGGUAGCUGGUCUGAGAGGAUGAUCAGCCACACUGGGACUGAGACACGGCCCAGACUCCUACGGGAGGCAGCAGUGGGGAAUUUUGGACAAUGGGGGCAACCCUGAUCCAGCCAUUCCGCGUGAGUGAGGAAGGCCUUCGGGUUGUAAAGCUCUUUUGUCCGGAACGAAACGGCUACGUCUAAUACACGUGGCUACUGACGGUACCGGAAGAAUAAGCACCGGCUAACUACGUGCCAGCAGCCGCGGUAAUACGUAGGGUGCGAGCGUUAAUCGGAAUUACUGGGCGUAAAGCGUGCGCAGGCGGUUUUGUAAGCCAGAUGUGAAAUCCCCGGGCUUAACCUGGGAAUGGCAUUUGGGACUGCAAGGCUUGAGUGCGGCAGAGGAGACUGGAAUUCCUGGUGUAGCAGUGAAAUGCGUAGAUAUCAGGAGGAAUACCGAUGGCGAAGGCAGGUCUCUGGGCUGACACUGACGCUCAUGCACGAAAGCGUGGGGAGCAAACAGGAUUAGAUACCCUGGUAGUCC
rnacentral:rRNA from 1 species